rnacentral:rRNA from 1 species
AACGAACGCUGGCGGCAGGCCUAACACAUGCAAGUCGAGCGGCAUCCUUCGGGAUGUUAGCGGCGGACGGGUGAGUAACGCGUGGGAACGUGCCCUUUGCUACGGAAUAGCCUCGGGAAACUGAGAGUAAUACCGUAUGUGCCCUUCGGGGGAAAGAUUUAUCGGCAAAGGAUCGGCCCGCGUUGGAUUAGGUAGUUGGUGGGGUAAUGGCCUACCAAGGCGACGAUCCUUAGCUGGUCUGAGAGGAUGAUCAGCCACACUGGGACUGAGACACGGCCCAGACUCCUACGGGAGGCAGCAGUGGGGAAUAUUGCACAAUGGACAAAGUCUGAUGCAGCAACGCCGCGUGGAGGAUGACACAUUUCGGUGCGUAAACUCCUUUUAUAUAGGAAGAUAAUGACGGUACUAUAUGAAUAAGCACGGCUAACUCCGUGCCAGCAGCC